rnacentral:lncRNA from 1 species
GAGCUCUCAGAAGACCUACGAUUAAGAAUUGUUGACUUGCAUAAAGCUGGAAAGGGUUAUAAAAGUAUCUCCAAAAGCCUUGCUGUUCAUCAGUCCACGGUAAGACAAAUUGUCUAUAAAUGGAGAAAGUUCAGCACUGCUGCAACUCUCCCUAGGAGUGGCCGUCCUGUAAAGAUGACUGCAAGAGCACAGCGCAGACUGCUCAAUGAGGUGAAGAAGAAUCCUAGAGUGUCAGCUAAAGACUUACAAAAGUCACUGGCAAAUGCUAACAUCCCUGUUAGCGAAUCUACAAUACGUAAAACACUAAACAAGAAUGGAUUUCAUGGGAGGAUACCACAGAGGAAGCCACUGCUGUCCAAACAAAACAUUGCUGCACGUUUACAGUUUGCACAAGAGCACCUGGAUAUUCCACAGCAGUAC